CCUANGGGAGGCAGCAGUAAGGAAUAUUGGUCAAUGGACGAAAGUCUGAACCAGCCAUGCCGCGUGGAGGAUGAAGGUCCUCUGGAUUGUAAACUUCUUUUAUAUGGGACGAAAAAGGGUCUUUCUAGACCAACUGACGGUACCAUAUGAAUAAGCACCGGCUAACUCCGUGCCAGCAGCCGCGGUAAUACGGAGGGUGCAAGCGUUAUCCGGAUUCACUGGGUUUAAAGGGUGCGUAGGUGGGUUGGUAAGUCAGUGGUGAAAUCCCCGAGCUUAACUUGGGAACUGCCAUUGAUACUAUCAGUCUUGAAUACCGUGGAGGUUAGCGGAAUAUGUCAUGUAGCGGUGAAAUGCUUAGAUAUGACAUAGAACACCAAUUGCGAAGGCAGCUGGCUACACGAAUAUUGACACUGAGGCACGAAAGCGUGGGGAUCAAACAGGAUUAGAUACCCCGNUANUC
rnacentral:rRNA from 1 species